ensembl:lncRNA
ACUGGCACCGUCACAAGUUGAGGUCUGAGGUUCUAGUGGUGGGAGUUCAAACCCUGCAGGCGUCUAACGAAUCAAUGAUAAUAACCAAUGAAAGGAGAGACGGAGCAGUAGUAGAAAUGCAGUGACAGUUGUGUGGGAAGCCGUUAAAAAGGGACUAAAGUGUCUCUUUUUUAAAACGUUUUCAUGUAUUUUUCUGCCUGUAAAUUCAAAUAUUAACAAAACCGUGAAUGAAUGCACAUACGUCAGGAACACGUGAAAGUAGUUAUACAGGCGGGCCUCUUAUGUACUGUAAAUGCACACACACACACACACACACACACAUGGAACUGUAUCAUCGCUGCAUUCUAAAUGAGCGAGCCAAUCAAAUUUGCCUAAUGAGACAUCUGGCUUUCUGCCUGCAUGCGGAUGUCAAACCUAGAAACAGCUGGGCCUUUAUGCACACACACACACACACACACACACACACACACACUGCCCCUUUCUCCUCUCACACUAUAUCUGAUCUGGUGGAAGAGUGAGAUAGAAAUCCUGUGAUAUGGGUGAUACACACACACACAUAUUUAAGGGGCUGGUUGAGGGAGGAGUUGUGGUCAAGACUCACCGGCCGGUGUCGCACACUCAUCUCCCACACGCAGUUCUUUCACACACACGUGAUACAUUAUGCAUACGUGAGUGUGUGUAACGCACUCACCGCGGUCAUAAAUUAGAUAUACGGUGGUGGUGGUGGUGGUGGAGUGUGUGUGUGUGUGUGUGUUUGUGUGCAUGCGAAAUGAGAAGAAGUGGAGGAAGGAAGGGGGGGGGGCACAGAUGGCUGUGGCCUGAGGCAUUUGAGGUACUGCAGCUAAACAUUGAGACUGCAGCGCGCACACACACACACACACACAAACACACACAGGAGAUUAAGUGUUGGGGAGGCUGCUCACAUACACAAACACUUCAACAUGUACCGUAUCAAAGCAGAAAAAGGAGACAGAGAGACGCACAGUGGACAUGUCUCCUCCGUAUAGUUCACAUCAGAGACACAGUCAACCGCUAAAGGAGGCAAGAAAAAGUGUAAAAUACCCCCCAAAAAAUGUUUGAUUAAUGGACAAAUAGACUGAGAGGAGACGUUUCUUUAAUUAAUUUCGUAAUAACGCGUUACUACGUUACUGUCUUCAAUGCAGCACUUCUGCUUUUGAUGGAGUAUUUUCACACAGUAGUAAAGUACACCCUCAACUACCGUCCCCAUCGUUUGUCUUCUCUCGUUUCCUGACUGUACAAAAGGUAAAUCACAUUAAUAACUUGCAGAGCAUGUUGUGCUAUGACGAUCGAUAGUAGUUAUUGAGAGUGUAUGUCUGAGUCUGAAACGGAACCAUUACAGAGACAUUAUUGUUAUUAUCAUUAUUGUAACAAACCAAAUGUCCCUGAAUGUGAAAUACAAACUCCUUUGAAAUGUUCAAUGCCUUGUUUAAAAGAAAUACAUUGUUUCCCACUCUGAAGGCCCUGCAGAUGCGUUCCGCCGCUUCCCUUUCAGCUCAGCGGGUCUUAAAUCAGGACGGAGGAGUUUGAGUUUGCCUCCGUCUCAUCCGUCACUCGUCCCCCGUGAUUCAUGCGAGUGUCUUUUGUCUUCGCCGUGGACGAUCCGUCACGUCUCGUUCACACACCACGACACAAUGAAACCGUCGCCCACUCUCUCUCUCUCUCUCUUUUUAAACCCCCUUCUGGUCCUCCCUCUCUCUCCCUCUCUCCCUCCCUCUUUGCAUUCCCCCAUUCCUUUCCCUUCCCCCCCCCUCCCCCCUCUCUUCUGCUCCCCCCUUCUCUCCCACUUGUCUGAACUCUGACAGGUGUGUAAUUGAAUGAUUAAUGACCACCACGCUACCGCCCCCCCCCUCCCCCUCCUCCCCCUCAAACACACACUUUUCUUUAAAAUGGAAAUGUACAUAUUUAUGCACACACAUAUUCAUGCGCCGCAUAUGUGCACAUUUACACACGUGUAUUCAUUUUGCUUCAGUGGCCCGAACGGUGAAAUUCAAGCCCGGUGGGAGUCUGGGACUGAUGGAGACAUUACGAGGAGCACGGCGAGCGCCUCGCGUCCCGUCCCAUCGGCGUGACGGAGCUGCCCUUCUCAAAAGGCCGCCGUUGUCGUUCGUGUUUCAGCUGGUGGGAAUUUUACCACUAAGUUGUUUUUCAUGUGUUGUCAUUCCCUCAAAAAUUGGUAAAGUGGUAUUAUCUUCAAAACACCGCUCCUUCUCCCCCGCUCUAAUGUUCAUAUUAUGAAAAUAAAACUUCUUUUUUUUAUACGUAAGACGAGGAAAUAUUGAAUUUAAGUUUGUUUUUCUCUUUCUUCUAUUGGGUCUGAGGAAAGAUGUUGUGGCGUGUGGACGGAUGCCGGGGAAAACGGCCAUUUCCUGUUGACCUACAUUUGAACUCUGGCCCCUGACCCCCUCCUGCCCGGCCGCUCGGGGCCGAAUGGGGGCAGGGUGAGGGGACGUGGGGGUGUAGUCGUGGGGGGUGGGGACCGGUGUUUGUGGUGCGUUUGGGGCUCAAUGGACGACUGCGGGGAGGUUUUAGGCACCUUUCAUGUCCAAACACAACCCGAGAAGGGAGGAAGGUGGCGGCCGCGAGGGGAGAGACGUGGUCGGCGUUGUCGUUGUUGCCUCCUCCGGAUGUCGUCCCGGCUUCAGGUGACGGAUAAGCAGCAGCGAAGAAGGAACCGGACAUGUGAUGAUCCCGCCUGUGUGACCUGAGGCCUCGCUGGCAGGGACGUGACUCACGGGCGGCAAAAAGGAAGAAAUUGCGCUAUUUGUCAAGCAGAGGCCCCCGUGAAGGUGAGUGGCUUUUGGCUUUUGAACUUCUCGUGGAGGAGUUGAACUAUUCCUGACAUCGUACAUCAGGAACACCCGACGCUUUUAAUCUUUCCUGCCGUCUGUUUUUGACUUUACGUGUUUGGGAAGUCCUGAUUGAGGAGAGGUUUGUCUUUGAUACUCUUGAUAUCGACAUUCUCACGGCGUGCACACGCUGAUUAAAGUUUAUUGUUGGAAAGGAAUCACGUCGCAUGGAUUCCUUUCAAAUAAAGGCUGAAUUGAUGAGAAGGGGAUUUGGAUUGUGGAAGAAAACGACGACACCAAAUUGAAUAUUAGCUGACUAUAAAUACAAUAAAAGAGCCGCAUCCUGAAACAAAAUACAUUUUGCCUCUUAUUUAAGUCUUAAACUCACAUUACUUUCUUGGAGCCGUCUGCACUUUCUCAUUAUUUCAUUAUCAAAGUAAAUGUAUGCACGGUGAGUGUAUUUAACUUAGUUAAUAAUAACCAGUGGCUUCGGGUUCUUUAC